GGAACUUUCUGUGAAAUGGCAUGUUCUUGGAAGGAGCAGGAGCAGGGAGGAGAGGGAAGGGGGGAAGGAGAGAAGGAAAAAAGGGAGAGCGACGAGGGGGAGGGAAGGCCCAGGUCAGAGAGAAGAAAGGAGAGAGAUUUGCUGGUAAAAUCACAUGAAGAUGUGACAAGAAGUGCAAAGGGGCGAGAGGCUGGUUUGAGUUGGCAUGAGGAAUGGGUGAAAGAGGACAGACGGCUGCUGACCUAGAAGAAGCCUGAAGCAACAGAAGGAAAAAAUAAGCCAAGAGGGAGAGAAGGAAUCAACUGCUAAGAGAAGAAAACACGCAGAUGCAGAGGUUGACCCCAAGCCCACCCAGCCUCGGGCUCACGGGCGAGAUGGAGAGUUUCCCAGGAGAAGGCUGAGAGGACAGCUGCUCACCACAACAGCUCCUUGAGGGGAAGGGACAAGACAGCAGAUUGCCAGAGCAUUCCCUCUCCUUUCUCCCCGCUCCUGGCUAUGCAGGGUUCACAGAGGAGGGAGCUCUGGGCCUGAUGUUGGGGAGCCAGACCUUUCUUCUUCCAAGUCUCCCCGAGGGAAAGAGGGCAUGUGCUGCAGUUUGCCCCUGAGGGACAUGUGGGCGAGUCCUGGGUGCAGGCCUCUGGCUCCCAUGGGUGUUGGGGGCAGCUCCCCUAUCCUGAGCCCAGCACCAGCCCUGGAUUCUUACAUCUCACCCUCAUGGCUUCCCUCAGGGAGAGCCAUCCAAAUACUGAGUCACAGAGGAAAAAAAAAAGCGUUGCAGACAAAACCAAGAAAAAUUACACAAUCUCUUAAAUUCCUGGACGAAAGAGUCUACACCUACUUUGUGCAAAAUCAGGAGGCUUCUCAUGACUGGGUGUGACUGUAACCCACGUGCUAAUGACGAGCCAUCUGCAAAGUAGAUAUACCAACCGUGUCACACGAUGCCGCCCCUCUGAUGCUCAGCACGUUCUGAGAGGUGAGCAGGCAGGUUCCACCUUCAGUAGUGAGACAGCACAGGAUGGAGCACAAAGACCCCACCACCGCCCUCCAGGAUAAUGCCCUCCCCAACAGGAACUGCUUUCCCGAGAGUGUCAAGAUAGAAGCUGUUCAAGCUCAAGGAACCAUUUUGGGUUAUUGGAAACUCAACAUCAAGUGCGUCAAGAUGCUGAAUGUUAUCCACCAACCAGUUUUAUUCCUCCGUGGCACCACAGGCCUUGCCACACUAGGCUGCCCAGGCCCCUCGGUGCCUCUGCUCAAGCCGGUCCCUCCCCCUGGAAGGUCUUGCCAGCCAGCUUUGAGGUGCUUUGGGAUUCACACGAUAAUGCGCUGAGCCCUGCAGCUGGGAGCUGCCUGUGAGCACCUCAGAGUUUCCAGUCAGUGGUUUCCUGUGGGAGAGCAGUCCAGGGCCUCAGCUCUCCACUUACUGGCACACCUCCCUCUCUCUGCUCUGCCUCCCGUCCAUCCUGACCACUGGCCUGGCCUCGCAGGGAGACAAAAAGUAGUUUGGUUUCCUCGGAUUAGAAAGAUGGCAAGCCUGGGAGCUGAAACCACUGGCCCUUAUUUUUCAGGGGAGAGGAGAGAAGUGUGUGUUGGGGAGAGGGCACUCUAGGACCCCAGGGUUGGGGGCCCGUCUCCUGCAGAGCUGCAGUGGGUAGGACAGUCUGUCCUGCAGGAAUGCUGUGACCCCUAAGGGUGUCCGUGUGAAGGCUCUGUCUGUUCUGAAAGUGCACCAUGGAGGGCAAUGGUCCCUCCGUAACAGAAGUGGCCAUUGUGAGAUGGAGGAGUGAGAAUGGGGCUAAGGUCUUUAGGGAGGCGGAGAUUCCAUGGCUGGCAGAGAGGUCUGGAAGGGUCAGGGUGACCUAGGGGCCACUGGAGCCUGGUCAGUUCCAGGGGCUGUUGGAAAGGUCAAAAGUGCUUCUGUGUGACCAGAAUUGAGCUCUCUGGUGGCAGCCCACACGUCAGCCCCAUCUACUCUGAGCCAGGCCCUAGCCUAGCUCUAAUGGGGACAUAGAGAUGCCCUCAUGCAACAGCCAGGCUAGAGAGAAGAACACAGGCACAAGCAACUUGGAGGUGCUCAGAUGUGGUGUGUACCAAGACAUCGCUGAGGAGGCGGGAGAAGGGGAGGAGAGGGUAGGCGCUGCCUCAGUGGAGCCAGGGAGGGUGCCCUCAAGCCUGUUGUGCCCAAGGGGGUGUAAAACCGAAAGCAGGGAGGGUGCCCUCAAGCCUGUUGUGCCCAAGGGGGUGUAAAACCGGCUGGUAGAUAACUUUUUGCAUCUCGAAGUAGGACUUUGAUGGUGAGGUCAGUUUUGAAUAACCUCAAACGGCUCCUUGAACUUGGAUAGCUUGAACUUGGAUAGCUUUAUCGCAAGAGAGUGACACUCUGAGGAGUUCUCUAAGCGAAAGGAUAUAGGUGUCAACCUGCAAAAAGUGAGUAUUUCAUCGGAAGUCACAGGCGUUGCUGUCCUGCAGCAACCAGAACACACCUCACUGUCCUCAGAGUCAUUGGGCUUAGUGGCCCUGGGGUGCAGGAAUUCCUUCCACAGCUGACAAGAGCCCUUCUGGGCCCUAAGGGUCUUGAGGGUCCUCUCAGUGGCUCUUCGACUAGAGGAAAAGCCAGCAUCGACACCCUCCAGGGAAGUUAACAUUUACUGAGCCCUUCCAGAAGACCUGUUCCUCCUGGCCAUGGCUGGCUGGACAAGGGGUAGGCGUAGUCAGUCCACAUGCUCAGUAUGAAUAGACGAGCUGGCCCCAUCAGGGAGUUUGAACAAGGACACAGAGACAGUGAACUGUGUGUUCUCAGAGAGCUGGUUGGGGCUGCUUGUACAGUUGAGGCUGCCAUCUUGUUGGGCCACAUGCAAGAAGAGUGAGCAGAGAGAAGCCAAAGUAAGAGAGCUCUCUGAGGACCCCUGAGGGCUGGAGAGGAUUGGCACAGUUGCUGAAUCUUCUGUCCCAGCCCCGAAGAGGCUUGUGAUCCCUCACUGAAUAUCUGCGGGACUGCCUGUUAUAGCCUUACAAACAAUUGUCUUCUGUUUGAGCUCCUGAGUGGGCUUCUGAUCUUCGCAAGCAAGAGAUCCUUGAUGAGAACACCACCCUCCAGCUCCCCUAGCCUCUGAGCUCAGGCAGGAAAAGCCAGCUUAUCACGGAGCUUGGAGGAUGGAGCUGGGGUUCUUUUGAGGGCAGCAAGCGGACCUCCCAUCUUUCUCUCCAACCCCAGCCUUGCCUCUCCAAACCCAAACUGAAGCUGCUAUGUGACUCUGGCAAGUUCACCAGAGUUUUCCGGCCCAUUCCUGGCACCUGCUGCUGCUGGCUGCUCUUUAACUCCCUCAGGCACUGCCAAAUUUUCCUUGGUGCUCCCAGGCCAGGCAGUCUCUCCAGAGAGAGAGAGAGAGCUCAGCUGAGGUCACAUGGAAAAUAACCCUGGAGGAGGGCCCUGCCCCGAGCUGCUUCAGCCAACUUCUCUUUGUUCUUGCUCUCCUUCUCACAUGAAACUGGCCUGUUUCACCAAAGGUCAGGUCGCAUUCCCCUAAACACAGGAGUGCUAUGCAGUAAAAGUUUGAGACAACUUGUUUGCAUCUCAUGACUCUGGGAAAGCUUUAAAAGUGGAGAACUCCAGGGAUACCGUGCCACGAUGUCUUUGUAACUGUUGGCUUCCAGACUAUGAGCCCUUCCAAUGGGAAAACUCGCAGUGCUGAUGAACUCUGCUUUACACCAUAACACAUUCCUAAAGAGUCACAGAUGAUCUGCUCACUUAUAGUCUGCCUCAUUCCAGGGAAGGAAGAAAAACAGAAAACAAAAGCCACAGCAUCACCAAGCUGACAAAUUAGAGAGAAAGAAAAAGGAACAUCAAAAAUACACGAUAGAACCAGGAGAGGGGCAAAGACAAGAUGGACACCGUCAAAAUCCAACAUGGUUGCUAUGGGGAAAACACAGUUUGGCCCUAAGCUUUCCAGCAGCUGCUAUGAAAAGAGAAAUUUGAUUAGUUACACAAAGAGUCGUGUAUAAACUGAACUUUGGAAAAUUGAAUCAUGUUUCAAAUAUAUUAGUGGAGGUUGGAGGUUGCUGUUAAAGAAAACCUUUGUAGCGGACAUCUGGUUUGGUUUUUUGGUGUUUGUUUGCUGUUUGUGUUUGUAUUUGUCUGCUCAGCAGCCCUUCAUCCGGGGAAAUGGCCCUUCCGGACUUGGGGUGAUUAGGGUGAGCUGUCAAUCACAGAACCCCACCCUGGUUAGGAGGUAGGCUUUGGACCCAGCUCACUAAUCAGAUCCUCUCCUGGAAAUUUGCAUCUUGAGUGGAGACACCUGGGGGGCUGUAGGUUGUUAAAGCAGAGGCUCUCAUGAGGGUUUCUUCAAAAGACAAUUCAAAAUGUCCUGCUACCCAGAGCCCCAGAGCUGGCCUGGUUCUGUCCUUCCCAUGUCCUGAUUUUUCACGUUUUCCUUUGAGUCUGUGAUUUCCCAGUAUCCUCUCAAUAAAUUCCUUCAGCUUAAGCUAA
ensembl:lncRNA